UCUGCUCAAUGAUUUUUUAAAUUGCUGUGGUAUUUUGACUAUACAAAGGUAUUGAAAUAAGACUUUAAUUGAGUGCUAAGAGAAUGGAAAUACAGAAAAAUUCUUUCUUGAAUUCAAAAAUUGAAGUUAUUUUUAUAUGUGAAGAAACAAUAAUGAAAAUUAUUGACAAGAAGACCCUAAGAAUUUUUUUAAUUUAAUUAAAAAAUUUUUUAAUUAAAUUCUUUAAUUGGGGCGAUUAAUAAAAAUUAAAAACUUUGU
rnacentral:rRNA from 1 species